rnacentral:misc_RNA from 1 species
GCCCAAUUGGAAGAACAAAUCAAUAAUCAUAAGACGAGAGAAAUCUCUCUCAAUGCUGAUGUUGAACAAUUCAAGACAGAGCUGAGUGAGAAACCACUCAUGCAAGCUCAAAUUUCGGAACUUAAACAACAACUAGUCUCAGUUGAGACCAAAUAUGUAGAAGAGCUGGAAAGCUUGCAUUCAGUAGUUGUUGAGAAGGAGACGGUGCUAAAUUCCAAAUUGGAGGAGCAAACAAG